rnacentral:tRNA from 1 species
UGAUUUAGCUGAGCAGCAGAUAAUUUUGUAAGAAGUUAAAGGGGGGUUUGUUACCCCCCCUAAAUUAG